UUUACCGUGUAAAGGUAGCAUAAUCAAUUGUUUUUUAAUUGAAGGCUUGAAUGAAUGGUUGUAUGAGAUAUAAACUAUUUUUAUUUUAAUAAAAUGAAUUUAAAAUUUUAGUAAAAAUGCUAAAAUUAAAAUAUUAGACGAGAAGACCCUAUAGAUCUUUAUUUAAAUUUUUAUUUAAAAAUAUUGAAUAAUUUAUUUUAAUUUAAAAUUUAAAUUUUAUUGGGGCGAUAAUGAAAUUUUAAAAACUUUUAUUUAAAAUAAUAAAAAUAAUUAAUUUUUUGAUCCAUUAAUAAUGAUUAAAAGUUUAAGUUACCUUAGGGAUAACAGCAUAAUUAUUUUAAAAAGUUCUUAUUAAUAAAAUAGAUUAUGACCUCGAUGGUACAAUGCGAUAAGUGUAUCAAAGUGACGACGAAAUCCA
rnacentral:rRNA from 1 species